ensembl:lncRNA
UGGUAUAUGAUGAGGUGAUAUGUGUGAUUAAUAUCUGUGAAUAGGACUGAUAAUAAGGUUUGAAUUGGGUAGGUGAUGAUGUGACCAGAUGUGUAUUGGGUAGGUGAUGAGGUGACCAGGUGUGUAUUGGGUAGGUGAUGAGGUGACCAGGUGUGUAUUGGGUAGGUGAUGAGGUGACCAGGUGUGUAAGGAAAGAUAAUCAGAUGUGUAUUGGGUAGGUGAUGAGGUGACCAGGUGUGUAUUGGGUAGGUGAUGAGGUGACCAGGUGUGUAUUGGGUAGGUGAUGAUGUGACCAGGUGUGUAGGGAAAGAUAAUCAGGUGUAUUGGGUAGGUGAUGAUCUGACCAGGUGUGUAUUGGGUGGGUGAUGAGGUGACCAGGUGUGUAGGGAAAGAUAAUCAGGUGUGUAUUGGGUGGGUGAUGAGGUGACCAGGUGUGUAUUGGGUAGGUGAUGAGGUGACCAGGUGUGUAGGGAAAGAUAAUCAGGUGUAUUGGGUAGGUGAUGAUGGUCAGGACUGGUGAUGGUGUAGGGGGACUGGUGAUGUGGUCAUAACACACUUAAUCACUUCAUCACUUACUGACUAACAGGUGUGUGUAUUUUGGAAUCUAGAUUUAGUCUUGGUCGUUUGAUGAAAAUGCACAAUAAAUAUAGAAUCAUUUACAUUUUAGCUAAUUUGAGUAUUAGUUUU